AUUAAAAAUAAAUUUAUUGGUCCUUUCGUACUAAAUAAAAAUAAAUAAAAGAUAGAAACCAAUCUGGUUUACACCGAUUUGAACUCAAAUCAUGUAAUGAUUUAAGGGUCGAACAGACCCACUAUUAAAAUUACUGCAUCUAUAAAGUUACAUUAAUUCAACAUCGAGGUCGCAAUCAAAUUUUUAAAUAAGAACUUUAGAAAAAUAUUACGCUGUUAUCCCUAUGGUAAUUUGUUCAUUAAAUCAAUUUUAUUGGGUCAUUUAGUUAAUUAAAUUAAUAAAGAUAAUUAUUUAUUAGCUGCCCCAGCUAAACUAAAGUAAAAUUCAAAAGGGUCUUGUCGUCUAUUUAUUAUAUAAGAACAUUUUAAUUCUUAAUUAAAAUUAAAAAUAUAUAAAUAAUAUAGUAAUUGAAAUGUUUUACCAUUCAUACGAGCCUCUAAUUAAGAGGCUAAUGAUUAUGCUACCUUAGCACGGUUAAAUUUCCGCGGCUAUUUAAAAUUCAUUGAGCAGGUAUUACUUAUAAUUAAAUCAAUAAGAAAUGUUUUUGGUAAACAGUCAUUCAAUUUGUUGCUUAGUUCAUAAGGUGUAAUUAAAAAUUCUACUAAUGUUUUCAUUAAUUUAAGUAAUUAAUAUUAUCCUUAUAUUAUUAUUUAUAAUUUUAGUGAGUUUAGUUAUGAAACUUUAUGGAAACUUUUAUUCCUUAUUUAAGACUAUAAGCUUUAAAAAUUAAUUUAAAAAAUUAUUUUUUUAAAAAUAAUUAUUUGUUAAAAAAUUAAGGAAACCGGAUAUUAGUAGAUUCGGAUAAAGUAUAAUUUCAAUAAAUAUAUUUAUAAUAUUUUUGCUACAAUAAUAAAAUAAAUUUAUAGAUGAUCUACUUUCAGGAAAUUUUAAAUAAAAAUAAUAGAAUAGAAGAUUCCUGAUACUAAAGGAAAAAUAAAUUUCUUUAAAAAAUUUGUUGUUAUCCUUUACAGUUUGAAAUAAAAUUUGUUAAAAUUUUAAUAAAAAAAUUGUUUUUUAAAGUA
rnacentral:rRNA from 1 species